rnacentral:tRNA from 1 species
GAGCUCGUUGCUCAAUGGUUAGAGCUCUGGACUUUUGAUCCAUGGGUCACGGGUCCGAGCUUC